rnacentral:rRNA from 1 species
GCUAGCGGCAGGCUUAAUACAUGCAAGUCGAACGGGAGAGAGUUAGCAAUAACUUUCGAGUAGCUGGCGCACGGGUGCGUAACGCGUAUGCAACCUACCUUUAACAGGGGGAUAGGCCCGGAGAAAUUCUGAUUAAUACCCCAUAGUAUUUAUUUAAGGCAUCUUAGAUAGAUUAAAGCUGAGGCGGUUAAAGAUGGGCAUGCGUGCCAUUAGCUAGUUGGUGAGGUAACGGCUCACCAAGGCGACGAUGGCUAGGGGUUCUGAGAGGAUUAUCCCCCACACUGGUACUGAGACACGGACCAGCACUCCUACGGGAGGCAGCAGUAAGGAAUAUUGGGCAAUGGACGCAAGUCUGACCCAGCCAUGCCGCGUGCAUGAAGACGGCCUUAUGGGUUGUAAACUGCUUUUGUCAGGGAAUAAACCCUUGUUUGCGAACAAUGCUGAAGGUACCUGAAUGAAUAAGCAUCGGCUAACUCCGUGCCAGCAGCCGCGGUAAUACGGAGGAUGCAAGCGUUAUCCGGAUUCAUUGGGUUUAAAGGGUGCGCAGGCGGACUAUUAAGUCAGAGGUGAAAUGCUACGGCUCAACCGUGGAACUGCCUUUGAUACUGCUAGUCUUGAGUUUAAUUGAAGUGGGCGGAAUGUAACAUGUAUCGGUGAAAUGCAUAAUACAUGCUACAGAACACCGAUUGCAAGGCAGCUCACUAAGUUACAACUGACGCUCAUGCACUAAAGCGUGGGGAUCAAACAGGAUUAGAUACCCUGGUAGUCCACGCUGUAAACGAUGAUCACUCGUUGUUGGCGAUACACAAUCCGCGGCUAAACGAAAGUGAUAA